CCUACGGGUGGCAGCAGUGGGGAAUAUUGGACAAUGGGCGAAAGCCUGAUCCAGCCAUGCCGCGUGUGUGAAGAAGGCCUUCGGGUUGUAAAGCACUUUCAGUGGGGAAGAAAGCCUUGGGGCUAAUACCCUCGAGGAAGGACAUCACCCACAGAAGAAGCACCGGCUAACUCCGUGCCAGCAGCCGCGGUAAUACGGAGGGUGCGGAGCGUUAAUCGGAAUUACUGGGCGUAAAGCGCGCGUAGGCGGUCUGAUAAGCCGGUUGUGAAAGCCCCGGGCUCAACCUGGGAACGGCAUCCGGAACUGUCAGGCUAGAGUGCAGGAGAGGAAGGUAGAAUUCCCGGUGUAGCGGUGAAAUGCGUAGAGAUCGGGAGGAAUACCAGUGGCGAAGGCGGCCUUCUGGACUGACACUGACGCUGAGGUGCGAAAGCGUGGGUAGCAAACAGGAUUAGAUACCCCUGUAGUC
rnacentral:rRNA from 1 species